UAUUGUUAGCAAUUACGAUUAUGAGAGUAGCGUAAGGGUGCGUAACACGUAUUGCAAUCUGCCCUUGUACAGGAGGAUAGCUCGGCGAAAGCCGGAUUAAUACUCCGUAAUAUUAUGGUGUGGCAUCACAUGAUAAUUAAAGUCGCAAGAUGGUACAGGAUGAGCAUGCGUCUGAUUAGCUAGUUGGUAGUGUAAUGGACUACCAAGGCGAUGAUCAGUAGGGGAACUGAGAGGUUGAUCCCCCACACUGGCACUGAGAUACGGGCCAGACUCCUACGGGAGGCAGCAGUAGGGAAUAUUGGUCAAUGGAUGCAAGUCUGAACCAGCCAUGCCGCGUGCAGGAAGAAGGCCUUCUGGGUUGUAAACUGCUUUUGCCGGGGGAUAAAAUUCUCAUGCGUGGGAAAUUGAAGGUACCCGGUGAAUAAGCCACGGCUAACU
rnacentral:rRNA from 1 species